CAUCAAUUUGGAGCAUAUCAAGGCUAUUAUUACCGCCCAGGAAGUCCUCUUGCUCAACGCUAGGGAUCCCUCUGUUGCUCCUUUUGUUGAAGAGGUUCAACGGAGAAUUUUGCGUCAUCACCAAGCUACCAAGUCCCAGGAAGCUGGAGGGGGUGCCAGAUCAUACAGAUUUGUCCAGUCUGCAUUAUUGCCACCCCCUCCAGCUUCCU
rnacentral:misc_RNA from 1 species